rnacentral:pre_miRNA from 1 species
GAGGGGAGGCCGCAUCCUGGUCUGUGUCCCGGCGCCCUGUGCUCGCGGGCCUGCGCUGUUUGAUUCGCGCUCCGGCCGGGCAUCCCCCU